rnacentral:rRNA from 1 species
UUCCGGUUGAUCCCGCCGGACCUGACUGCUAUCGGAUUGAUACUAAGCCAUGCGAGUCUUUGUAGUAAUACAAGGCAGACGGCUCAGUAACACGUAGUCAACCUACCCUAUGGACAAGAAUAAUCUCGGGAAACUGGGCAUAAUUCUUGAUAGAUCAUAAUGCCUGGAAUGGUUUAUGGUUAAAAUGAUUCGUCGCCAUAGGAUGGGACUGCGGCCUAUCAGCUUGUUGGUGAGGUAAUGGCCCACCAAGGCGAUUACAGGUACGGGCUCUGAGAGGAGAAGCCCGGAGAUGGGUACUGAGACACGGACCCAGGCCCUAUGGGGCGCAGCAGGCGAGAAAACUUUGCAAUGUGCGAAAGCACGACAAGGUUAAUCCGAGUGAUUUCUGCUAAAGAAAUCUUUUACCAGUCGUAAAACCGCUGGUGAAUAAGGGGUGGGCAAGUUCUGGUGUCAGCCGCCGCGGUAAAACCAGCACCUCAAGUGGUCAGGAUGAUUAUUGGGCCUAAAGCAUCCGUAGCCGGCUUUGUAAGUUUUCGGUUAAAUCCAUGUGCUCAACGCAUGGGCUGCCGAAAAUACUGCAUAGCUAGGGAGUGGAAGAGGUAGACGGUACUCAGUAGGUAGGGGUAAAAUCCUUUGAUCUAUUGAUGACCACCUGUGGCGAAGGCGGUCUACCAGAACACGUUCGACGGUGAGGGAUGAAAGCUGGGGGAGCAAACCGGAUUAGAUACCCGGGUAGUCCCAGCUGUAAACGAUGCAGACUCGAUGAUGCAUUGGCAUAAUAGCCAUUGCAGUGUCGCAGGGAAGCCGUUAAGUCUGCCGCCUGGGAAGUACGUACGCAAGUAUGAAACUUAAAGGAAUUGGCGGGGGAGCACCACAAGGGGUGAAGCCUGCGGUUCAAUUGGAGUCAACGCCGGG